rnacentral:rRNA from 1 species
UGAGCAAUCUGCCCUUCUCUUCGGAAUAAGCGUUGGAAACGACGUCUAAUGCCGAAUACGACCUCCUUUCGCAUGAUCGGAGGUGGAAAGCUCCGGCGGAGAAGGAUGAGCUCGCGGCCUAUCAGCUUGUUGGUGAGGUAAUGGCUCACCAAGGCGACGACGGGUAGCCGACCUGAGAGGGUGAUCCGGCCACAUUGGAACUGAGACACGGUCCAGACUCCGUAGGGAG